rnacentral:rRNA from 1 species
UAACCAUGCAAGUCGAACGCUCACCUUCGGGUGGGAGUGGCAGACGGGUGAGUAACACGUGGGAACGUACCCUUUGGUUCGGGACAACUCUGGGAAACUGGAGCUAAUACCGGAUACGCCCUUUUGGGGAAAGGUUUACUGCCGAAGGAUCGGCCCGCGUCUGAUUAGCUAGUUGGUGGGGUAACGGCCUACCAAGGCGACGAUCAGUAGCUGGUCUGAGAGGAUGAUCAGCCACACUGGGACUGAGACACGGCCCAGACUCCUACGGGAGGCAGCAGUGGGGAAUAUUGGGCAAUGGGCGCAAGCCUGAUCCAGCCAUGCCGCGUGAGUGAUGAAGGCCUUAGGGUUGUAAAGCUCUUUUAUCCGGGACGAUAAUGACGGUACCGGAGGAAUAAGCCCCGGCUAACUUCGUGCCAGCAGCCGCGGUAAUACGAAGGGGGCUAGCGUUGCUCGGAAUCACUGGGCGUAAAGGGCGCGUAGGCGGCGUUUUAAGUCGGGGGUGAAAGCCUGUGGCUCAACCACAGAAUGGCCUUCGAUACUGGGACGCUUGAGUCUGGUAGAGGUUGGUGGAACUGC